rnacentral:rRNA from 1 species
GAUGAACGCUGGCGGCGUGCCUAAUACAUGCAAGUCGAGCGAACAGACGAGGAGCUUGCUCCUCUGACGUUAGCGGCGGACGGGUGAGUAACACGUGGAAAACCCACCUAUAAGACUGGGAUAACUACGGGAAACCGGAGCUAAUACCGGAGAAUAUAUUGAACCGCAUGGUGCAAUAGUGAAAGACGGUUUUGCUGUCACUUAUAGAUGCAUCCGCGCCGUAUUAGCUAGUUGGUAAGGUAACGGCCUACCAAGGCAACGAUGCGUAGCCGAACUGAGAGAGUGGUAGGCCACACUGGAACUGAGACACGGUCCAGGCUCCUACGGUAGGCAGCAGUAGGGAAUCUUCCGCAAUGGGCGGAAGCCUGACGGAGCAACGCCGCGUGAGUGAUGACAGUCUUCGGAUCGUAAAACUCUGUUAUUAGGGAAGAACAAAUGUGUAAGUAACUAUGCACGUCGUGACGGUACCUAAUCAGAAAGCCACGGCUAACUACGUG